AUACUUACCUUGAGAUGCUAAUAGAGAUCAAGUAGUCUAUUAGCCAACCAUUCCCGUUUGCAUUGCACAGCGCUGCGGGAGAGAUUGCCGACUUUUCCGUCGGAGAAGUGUGGGUCUUUUAAUUUUUGAUUU